GGGACGAGACAUUAUACUACUUCUAACGGUUAAAGUCGAGACCAUAUAUAUCACGACGAUACGUAUUAUACACGUAAAACGGUCAACACAUCGUACCCGUAAAACCAGGUGAUUGGCGUCCCGGUUUGAUCAAACUGUAUUAUUAUUAUGUGGUCGGGAUUGUCCCGUAUGUGGUCGCUCUUUUCUUCUCGAUUUUUACUUUUAUUAGUCUUAUAUUGUAAAUAAGACGAACGACUCAACGACGAUAAGACCGACUAUUCUAGCAGUCCAUGUCCAUUUUCCCGGUUAAAGUCCAUGUUCACGACAAGACCGACUACAAAGGCUCUGUUCGUCGUUUUGUUACAAGUCCAUCCGUUUUCACUACCUUCAAACUACCACAGUGUUGUGUUUACCUGGGUUUUAUGCUACUUUAAUAACCGCGGGUUUAAACUCUUUGUAUAACGGUCUUAUCAUUUCUCAGAGUUUAUACA
rnacentral:rRNA from 1 species